rnacentral:lncRNA from 1 species
CCUUCGCUCGGCGCACACGCUCAAGCUUCUUUUCCCUCUCCUCCCGAGCCGCAACAACACGUCUUCUUUCCUCCUCUUCCUUGUGCUCCCUCUUUUGAGCCUCCUCUCUACGUCUCUUCUCUAAUAUCUCUGCACGCUCUGCAUCCCACUCCUUUAGGCCUUGUAGAAGCCGCUUGUCGGACUCCUUAAUCUCAGUGUCGAUCCACUU